rnacentral:rRNA from 1 species
GGUGCAUGGUUGUCGUCAGCUCGUGUCGUGAGAUGUUGGUUAAGUCCCGCAACGAGCGCAACCCUCGACCUUAGUUGCCAGCAUUCAGUUGGGCACUCUAAGGUGACUGCCGGCUAAAAGUCGGAGGAAGGUGGGGAUGACGUCAAAUCAUCAUGCCCCUUAUGACCUGGGCUACACACGUGCUACAAUGGCAUAUACAAAGAGAAGCGAACUCGCGAGAGCAAGCGGACCUCAUAAAGUAUGUCGUAGUCCGGAUUGGAGUCUGCAACUCGACUCCAUGAAGUCGGAAUCGCUAGUAAUCGUAGAUCAGAAUGCUACGGUGAAUACGUUCCCGGGCCUU